UCCAGACUCCUACGGGAGGCAGCAGUGGGGAAUAUUGCACAAUGGGCGAAAGCCUGAUGCAGCAACGCCGCGUGAAGGAAGACGGUUUUCGGAUUGUAAACUUCUGUUCUUAGUGAAGAAUAAUGACGGUAACUAAGGAGCAAGCCACGGCUAACUACGUGCCAGCAGCCGCGGUAAUACGUAGGGGGCAAGCGUUAUCCGGAUUUACUGGGUGUAAAGGGAGCGUAGACGGCGAUGCAAGUCAGAAGUGAAAGCCCGCGGCUCAACUGCGGGACUGCUUUUGAAACUGUAUAGCUUGAGUGCAGGAGAGGUAAGCGGAAUUCCUAGUGUAGCGGUGAAAUGCGUAGAUAUUAGGAGGAACACCAGUGGCGAAGGCGGCUUACUGGACUGUAACUGACGUUGAGGCUCGAAAGCGUGGGGAGCAAACAGGAUUAGAUACCCUGGUA
rnacentral:rRNA from 1 species